GGAAGGAUCAUUAUUGAAAUAAACCUGACGGGUUGUUGCUGGUUCUCUAGGGAGCAUGUGCACGCCUUGUCAUCUUUAUAUCUCCACCUGUGCACCUUUUGUAGACCUUUCCAAGGUCUAUGUUUAUUCAUUUACCCCAAUGUAUGUUAAUAGAAUGUUGUGUUUAUAAAAUCUAUACAACUUUCAGCAACGGAUCUCUUGGCUCUCGCAUCGAUGAAGAACGCAGCGAAAUGCGAUAAGUAAUGUGAAUUGCAGAAUUCAGUGAAUCAUCGAAUCUUUGAACGCACCUUGCGCUCCUUGGUAUUCCGAGGAGCAUGCCUGUUUGAGUGUCAUUAAUAUAUAUCAACCCCCCUUCUCUCUUGUUGGAGUGGGGUGGUUUGGAUGUGGGGGUUUGCUGGCCUCUUAAAAAGGUUCAGCUCCCUUGAAAUGCAUUAGCAGAACGGACCUUGUUCAUUGGUGUGAUAACUAUGUACGCUAUUGAAUGUGAAGGGAAGUUCAGCUUUCUAACUGUCUUUGGACAAAUUCAU
rnacentral:rRNA from 1 species